CUUUUGUACAUGCCUCAGUGAGAUGCACAAAGCACAACUUGGUCAGAUUCACAGAGGCUCUUGUCUCCUCUAACUCUUCCUGACGCAGGUUCCUCUAAUCUGAUGGGACACUCCUGCAAUGAUGCUUCAGCUGUAUUUUAACCUCAAGAAACCCUAAGAUCCCUCACUCCUAUGCUGCUGUCAACGGGAGGCUAAGAAGCACAGAGAAAUAGGCCAUACAAAGUCUACCUCUCUGAACACUCUGGUUUGUUGAGAUGACAGAUGGUUAAGUCUCUCUCUGACAUCAAGAGAUAGAGCCAAAGUUAUCAUGGAAUUGUUUCUUUUGGAAUGUCAAGUUUAUGUGCACCGUAUCACUCUUCUGAAAUGGACUCAAGAUUCAGGGUCUCAUCUCACUUUUGAUUUAACUACACUCAUAUUCAUCCAUGUGUGAAAAAUGGUGAUCACACUAGAAAGCUUGUUCUUACUGUUUCCUUGCAUAUCUGAAUACCUGCAUCACAUUCAAAUCUAACUCACUGCCUUAAUUUAAUAGCUGAAAGAAAC
rnacentral:lncRNA from 1 species